rfam:Bombyx mori DNA, contig: Bm_scaf48_contig25764, strain: p50T/Dazao, build 2, whole genome shotgun sequence.
UUAACCUAAAUGUGUAUGGAGUUAGAACGUUUGCCAAGGUUUGCCGCUAGGGGCGCUGUUCCAACUGCAUACAAAUUUGAGUUA